rnacentral:rRNA from 1 species
GCGAAAACUUUACAAUGCUGGCAACAGCGAUAAGGGAACCUCGAGUGCCAGGUUACAAAUCUGGCUGUCGAGAUGCCUAAAAAGCAUUUCAUAGCAAGGGCCGGGCAAGACCGGUGCCAGCCGCCGCGGUAACACCGGCGGCUCGAGUGGUAACCGUUAUUAUUGGGUCUAAAGGGUCUGUAGCCGGCCGGAUAAGUCUCUUGAGAAAUCUGGCAGCUUAACUGUCAGGCUUUCGGGAGAUACUGUCUGGCUCGAGGACGGGAGAGGUGAGAGGUACUUCAGGGGUAGGGGUGAAAUCUUGUAAUCCUUGAAGGACCACCAGUGGCGAAGGCGUCUCACCAGAACGGACCUGACGGCAAGGGACGAAAGCUAGGGGCACGAACC